UGGUGCAAGCUGUACUAAUACACCUA
rnacentral:piRNA from 1 species